GUUUGGGAAUGCAGCUCUAAGUGGGUGGUAAACUCCAUCUAAAGCUAAAUAUUGGCGAGAGACCGAUAGCGAACAAGUACAGUGAUGGAAAGAUGAAAAGAACUUUGAAAAGAGAGUGAAAAAGUACGUGAAAUUGUUGAAAGGGAAGGUUAUUAGAUCAGACUUGGCGGCGCGCCAUACCUGUCCUCUUGUAGGGCGGACACUGGCGCGUGUUUGCUGGGCCAGCAUCGAUUCGGGCGGCGGGACAUGGUCCUGUGGGAUGUGGCUGUUUUAACACAGUGUUAUAACCACGGGUCUCUGCCGCCUGCCUGGAUCGAGGACUGCGUCUGUUUACAGACUAGGAUGCUGGCGUAAURAUCUAAUAUCGCCCGUCUUGAAACACGGACCAAGGAGUCUAACGUCUAUGCGAGUGUUUGGGUGUAAAACCCGUACGCGUAAUGAAAGUGAACGUAGAUUGGAGCUGCCCCCCCCUGGGGGCAGUGCACAAUCGACCGAUCCGGAAGAAUUUCUGAAGGAUUUGAGUAAGAGCAUAGCUGUUGGGACCCGAAAGAUGGUGAACUAUGCCUGAAUAGGGUGAAGCCAGAGGAAACUCUGGUGGAGGCUCGUAGCGGUUCUGACGUGCAAAUCGAUCGUCGAAUUUGGGUUUAGGGCGAAAGACUAAUC
rnacentral:rRNA from 1 species